GGGGGGGGGGGGGGGGGGGGGGGGGGCGGGCGGGGGGGGGGGGGGCGCCGGGAGGGCUUGGUGUGCCGGGUGGCGGGUGGCGGCCGGGGGCGGGAUGCAGCGGAAUCUACUUUUUCGGGGGGGAUCACGUAGGGAAACUUACGCUAAUACCGCAUACGACCUACGGGUGAAAGCAGGUGAUCUUCGGACCUUGCGCGAUUGCAUGAGCCGAUGUCGGAUUAGCUAGGUGGCGGGGAAACGGCCCACCAAGGCGCCGAUCCGUACCUGGUCUGAGAGGAUGAUCAGCCACACUGGAACUGAGACACGGUCCAGACUCCUACGGGAGGCAGCAGUGGGGAAUAUUGGACAAUGGGCGCAAGCCUGAUCCAGCCAUACCGCGUGGGUGAAGAAGGCCUUCGGGUUGUAAAGCCCUUUUGUUGGGAAAGAAAGGCAGCAGGUUAAUACCCCGCUGUUCUGACGGUACCCAAAGAAUAAGCACCGGCUAACUUCGUG
rnacentral:rRNA from 1 species